rnacentral:rRNA from 1 species
AGAGUUUGAUCCUGGCUCAGGACGAACGCUGGCGGCGUGCUUAACACAUGCAAGUCGAGCGGAAAGGCCCUUCGGGGUACUCGAGCGGCGAACGGGUGAGUAACACGUGAGUAACCUGCCCUGGACUUUGGGAUAACCCUCGGAAACGGGGGCUAAUACCGGAUACGACAUUCCACCGCAUGGUGUGUUUGUGGAAAGUUUUUCGGUCUGGGAUGGGCUCGCGGCCUAUCAGCUUGUUGGUGGGGUGAUGGCCUACCAAGGCGACGACGGGUAGCCGGCCUGAGAGGGCGACCGGCCACACUGGGACUGAGACACGGCCCAGACUCCUACGGGAGGCAGCAGUGGGGAAUAUUGCACAAUGGGCGGAAGCCUGAUGCAGCGACGCCGCGUGAGGGAUGACGGCCUUCGGGUUGUAAACCUCUUUCAGCAGGGACGAAGCGCAAGUGACGGUACCUGCAGAAGAAGCGCCGGCCAACUACGUGCCAGCAGCCGCGGUAAGACGUAGGGCGCGAGCGUUGUCCGGAUUUAUUGGGCGUAAAGAGCUCGUAGGCGGCUUGUCGCGUCGACUGUGAAAACCCGCGGCUCAACCGCGGGCCUGCAGCCGAUACGGGCAGGCUAGAGUUCGGUAGGGGAGACUGGAAUUCCUGGUGUAGCGGUGAAAUGCGCAGAUAUCAGGAGGAACACCGAUGGCGAAGGCAGGUCUCUGGCCGAUACUGACGCUGAGGAGCGAAAGCGUGGGGAGCGAACAGGAUUAGAUACCCUAGUAGUCC